CUGUGCAAUACGCCUGCAUCAGAGAGGAAACCGUAUGAAGUAAUGAAGAUUCACGGUUAAGCAAUCAAGCAGUUUGAGUGACUGCCCAACAACAAUGCGUCACAACUGGCAGGGUGGUCAAAGUUUCUUCCUUUGAUAGUAAUUAUAAGAAACAGAAAUUAAUGCAUCAUCAUGACUAUACCCAACACAAUAUAAGCCUGCUACCUCUGAGGGAGUUCAGUUAAACAGAAGAACAGCAGCAUCUCUACAGUCUUCAGUUCUCCAGACCUCCAGACCUUAUCAGUACACAAUGCGUCUCUCUCUGACCUCCGGACAGAUCACCUGCAUCUUUUACAUAGCCAUGUUUGUUUCCAGCUUUACGCUUGGAGCAUUCGCUUAUGAUGCAAAGGUAUCCACAUGUUGUCACACUUUAACCUCAGCUGAAGUGAAGGACCCUAUUCAGAGCUGUGCACGUGUUCCUGGGAGAAGAAGGGGGAGAGGAUACUGCUAUGAGGCAUAUGUGUUAUCCACAGAGGGUACAACGAGCUGCAUCAAUAUAAAUGCCCCAUGGAUCGAAGAAACACUGGCGAAACUGAAGCAGGACGGUAACCCGUGUAAAGGUACACCCCAGUAAAUGAGUAUGCAGUCUAGAGCAUCCGGAAUUAUUUCACCACUUCCUUCACUGAUCUAUCUGAAGCUCUUCUUCUUUACUUCCAGCCACCACCAGAACCCACAGCUGUAGAAAUACAUCUUCAUAUCAGCUUGGAAUCCAUAUGUUUACAUGCCUUUGUUUUCAGAAAUGUAGCUCAAUUUUGCAUUCAGUAUCAGAGUAUUUAUCUAUUUUUGUAUUUAUUUAACUAUUGUGCAAACACUGGC
rnacentral:lncRNA from 1 species